CAUAUUUUUACGAUAGCAAAAAUGUAAUUUCUCUAUUUUAAUAUCUAUAUCUUUAUAAAUUUUAAAUGAUUAAAUCAAAUUUUUAUAUUUUUGGGAGCUAAAGUGAAAUUUCACUUUCACUAAUUUAAAUUUUAUAAACUUUAAAAGAACCUAAAUGAAAAAAAAAAUUAUUUUAAGAGGGUCGAGGCAUUUGCUAAGCC
rnacentral:lncRNA from 1 species